rnacentral:lncRNA from 1 species
CGAGAUUUCCAGAUUGAAGUUGGCCGAAAUAAUAAACCAUUGCCAAAAAUCAAUAGAUCAUGGAUAAAAUCCCGGAGAGUUUUGGGGAUGAAAGUUCUUUACAACAUUGCAAAGAACUUAUAUGAUAAAAAAUUCAGAUGCUUGUGCCAAUAUGAAGGAUGGACCCUCCUUACAAACAAUGGAAAAGAAAAAUCUACAAUUUUGAAGGAAUAUAUCUUAAAAUUUGAUACCCAUCAAAUUAGUGGAAGUCCAACAACAAUCCAAGAAUCAUGCAGAUUGAGGGAGUGCCCCACAUGUAGACAAAAUUGAAGGAUUGAUAAAUGGAAAAGGACCUACCACUACCAAAGCAUCCAGCCAGUUGCAAAUAAAGCCAAAGAUGGAGAAGCAAUAAUAGAAAAGCAUCUAGCCAGCUGCAUAUGAAGCCAAAGAUGAUAAGGCAAUAAUAGAAGAAAGGAGGUCCCUUUGAUGAAAAUUCAAAGAAUGCAUGUGAAAAUGUAGACCCCAGGAGGAAAAGAAUAGAGAGGCAUGUGAGCCUUUUUUCAAAUUUCUGAUGUAUGCAAUGAUGUAAUAGACCAAUAAUAGUAAGUUUGAGUCAUGUAUAAAUAGAGGUCUUUGGGAAAGAAUGGGGCAUCUCGAGUUAGAAACCAUUCUCUUUCCUUAAGCUUUUUCCAAAACCAGUUUUUCUGGAAACCCCUUGUAUACAAUAUAAAUCUUGUAUAAAUCAUUAUAGAAAUAAAAUCUCAAUCUUUUGAUAUCAGAAAGAUAUGAGUUUCUAAACUUACUAUCCCAUAGAUUCUUGAUAGAUUGAAGAAGAUAAUCUCUU